UACAGAGACUGCAAGCGUUAUUCGGAUUCACUGGGCGUAAAGGGUGCGCAGGCGGCCAAGUGUGUGAGGCGUGAAAUCCCUCGGCUUAACCGGGGAACUGCGUUUGAUACUGGAUGGCUUGAGUUUGGGAGAGGGAUGCGGAAUUCCAGGUGUAGCGGUGAAAUGCGUAGAUAUCUGGAGGAACACCGGUGGCGAAGGCGGCAUCCUGGACCAAUACUGACGCUGAGGAGCGAAAGCUAGGGGAGCAAACGGG
rnacentral:rRNA from 1 species